rnacentral:rRNA from 1 species
UACAGAGGUCCCAAGCGUUGUUCGGAUUCACUGGGCGUAAAGGGUGCGUAGGCGGUUGGGUAAGUCUGAUGUGAAAUCUCCGGGCUCAACCCGGAAAUGGCAUUGGAUACUAUUCGGCUAGAGGUUUGGAGGGGGGACUGGAAUUCUCGGUGUAGCAGUGAAAUGCGUAGAUAUCGAGAGGAACACCAGUGGCGAAGGCGAGUCCCUGGACAACACCUGACGCUGAGGCACGAAAGCUAGGGGAGCAAACAGG